AGAUGCUGAGGACUUGGAUGAGGACGGGCACCAAAUCUGCAUUGUCCAUUGCUAUUUCCCAGGUUGAGUUGCUGAAGCGGCUUCAUUGUCUGGGGACAUACCCAAGGUUCGUCAUCGCGUGACGAGAAGAUUAAGGACACAGACGCAAACACGGAGCGGGUCAAGUAGCGGAAAGUUUAAUAGGCAGGAAAGAAGAGAACAGCUCACCGGUAGAGAGCCGUCAAUGGUGUGCCAGAUAAGAAGCUAUGCACUGAAAAGAUGGAGAGGAGCGGCGAGAUUCUGCAUCUUAGCUUGCCUAGGUGGGGAGCAGGGUACAAGGGCCCAGAGAACUCACAACCUCUUUUUUGCUUCAGCCCAUCCACUAGAACUAGCUCAGGCUUAAUCUAACUGCAAAGAAGCCCAGGAAAUAUAGAAGAGAAGAUGAAAUAUUUUGCUUAAAAAUGGUUUAAAAUGACUUUUGCCAUUCAACUCGUAUCAGUUCAAGAAGCUCUGGAAUAAGUAACCACUGAAGGUAAGACAUCUUUUAAAUAAUAAAAGCCAAACCAUACUAUUCUUAACACCUCUCAGUUUCUCUAAAGCCAGUAUGACAAUCUUAAAAAAGGGAAAUAAUUACUCCUUUUUAUCCCUUAAAAUUUAAAAUGUAGUUUUUACCAUGUUUUCAGUAAGAUUCUCAUUCUGUACCAGAAAGGCAGUUCCUUAAAGACCCAAGUUUUAAAUAUUUAACUUUUUCUGUCCAUAAAAUAGGUAUUAUGUUUACAUAUUAUCAGUAACACAGAGUAUCUUGGUGUAGAACAUUUAUUUAUUUUUCCCACAAAUCACUGAAAGUUUAGGUCAGUGGGAAAUAAUUUUAAU
rnacentral:lncRNA from 1 species